CACGUAGGAGGCGAGCGUUGUCCGGAAUCAUUGGGCGUAAAGAGCGCGCAGGCGGCUUGGCAAGUCGGGUGUGAAAUCCCGGGGCUCAACCCCGGGACUGCAUUCGAUACUGUCAGGCUAGAGGUAGGUAGGGGAGAUCGGAAUUCCUGGUGUAGCGGUGAAAUGCGUAGAUAUCUGGAGGAACACCGGUGGCGAAGGCAGCAUCCUGGACCGAUACUGACGCUGAGGAGCGAAAGCCAGGGGAGCAAACGGG
rnacentral:rRNA from 1 species